rnacentral:rRNA from 1 species
AACGAACGCUGGCGGCAUGCCUAACACAUGCAAGUCGAACGAGACCUUCGGGUCUAGUGGCGCACGGGUGCGUAACGCGUGGGAACCUGCCCUUAGGUUCGGAAUAACUCCCCGAAAGGGGUGCUAAUACCGGAUAAUGUCUUCGGACCAAAGAUUUAUCGCCUUUGGAUGGGCCCGCGUUGGAUUAGCUAGUUGGUAGGGUAAAAGCCUACCAAGGCGACGAUCCGUAGCUGGUCUGAGAGGAUGAUCAGCCACACUGGGACUGAGACACGGCCCAGACUCCUACGGGAAGCAGCAGUGGGGAAUAUUGGACAAUGGGCGAAAGCCUGAUCCAGCAAUGCCGCGUGAGUGAUGAAGGCCUUAGGGUUGUAAAGCUCUUUUACCCGGGAUGAUAAUGACAGUACCGGGAGAAUAAGCUCCGGCUAACUCCGUG